rnacentral:tRNA from 1 species
CGCGGGGUGGAGCAGUUGGUAGCUCGCCAGGCUCAUAACCUGGAGGUCGUCGGUUCGAGUCCUGCCCCCGCAA